rnacentral:miRNA from 1 species
GGCUUCUCUGUGUAGCUUUUGAGCCUAUCCUGGCACUCACUCUGGAGACCAGGCUGGCCUAGAUCUCACAGACAUCCUCCUGCCUCUGCCUCCUGAGUGCUGGGAUUAAAGGCGUGUGACACCAAUGCCCG